GGUGCUCCAUGAUGAUCCUCAUCACUAAUAAUAUUGGUAAGUUUCUUGUGAUUAGUAGGAGAUAAAUCCACUGUCACCUAUAUGUGUGAUUAAUCAGUAGGAGUGUCCUCUGUAACACUUUCCUGAACAACUGUGUGGUUGGAUGUGCAUUUGUACUCAUUUUCUGUAGUGAUAUCGUAACAUUCUUUUUCAGGAAACACUUCCUAGAAUAUCUCCUCGACUUGGAGUGGAGCUUAUC
rnacentral:misc_RNA from 1 species